UAGGGAAUCUUCCACAAUGGGCGAAAGCCUGAUGGAGCAACGCCGCGUGUGUGACGAAGGGUUUCGGCUCGUAAAACACUGUUGUAAGAGAAGAAUGACAUUGAGAGUAACUGUUCAAUGUGUGACGGUAUCUUACCAGAAAGGAACGGCUAAAUACGUGCCAC
rnacentral:rRNA from 1 species